AUUGAACGCUGGCGGCAGGCCUAACACAUGCAAGUCGAGCGAGCGGCGGACGGGUGAGUAAUGUAUGGGGACUGCCCGAUAGAGGGGGAUAACUACUGGAAACGGUGGCUAAUACCGCAUACUAUCGGAUAACCCAUAUGGGAUUAGCUAGUAGGUGGGGUAAAGGCUCACCUAGGCGACGAUCUCUAGCUGGUCUGAGAGGAUGAUUAGCCACACUGGGACGGAUACACGGACAAGACUCCUACGGAGGCAGCAGUGGGGAAUAUUGCACAGUGGGCGCAAGCCUGAUGUAGCCAGGCCGCGUGUAUGAAGAAGGCCUUAGGGUGGCAAAGGACUUUCAGCGGGGAGGCGGUACCCGCAGAAGAAGCACCGGCUAACUCAGUGCCAGCCGCCGCGGUAAUUC
rnacentral:rRNA from 1 species